GAUGAGCGCUGGCGGCGUGCCUAAUACAUGCAAGUCGAGCGAACAGAUGAGGAGCUUGCUCCUCUGACGUUAGCGGCGGACGGGUGAGUAACACGUGGAUAACCUACCUAUAAGACUGGGAUAACUUCGGGAAACCGGAGCUAAUACCGGAUAAUAUAUUGAACCGCAUGGUUCAAUAGUGAAAUACGGUUUUGCUGUCACUUAUAGAUGGAUCCGCGCCGCAUUAGCUAGUUGGUAAGGUAACGGCUUACCAAGGCAACGAUGCGUAGCCGACCUAAGAGGGUGAUCGGCCACACUGGAACUGAGACACGGUCCAGACUCCUACGGGAGGCAGCAGUAGGGAAUCUUCCGCAAUGGGCGAAAGCCUGACGGAGCAACGCCGCGUGAGUGAUGAAGGUCUUCGGAUCCUAAAACUCUGUUAUUAGGGAAGAACAAAUGUGUAAGUAACUAUGCACGUCUUGACGGUACCUAAUCAGAAAGCCACGGCUAACUACGUG
rnacentral:rRNA from 1 species